AGUUAAUAUUUAAAUAAUUUAAUAAAAAUAUUGAUUUGUGGUAUCAAAAAUAUGAAAUUUUCAUUUUAAAUU
rnacentral:tRNA from 1 species